rnacentral:rRNA from 1 species
UACGUAGGGUCCGAGCGUUGUCCGGAAUUACUGGGCGUAAAGCGCGCGCAGGCGGCCCGCGAGGUGUCACGUGAAAGCCCCGGGCUCAACCCGGGAGGGUCGUGGCAAACCGGCGGGCUUGAGGCCGGUAGAGGUGGGUGGAACUCCUGGUGGAGUGGUGAAAUGCGUAGAGAUCAGGAAGAACACCCGUGGCGAAGGCGGCCCACUGGCCCGGUACUGACGCUGAGAUGCGAAAGCGUGGGGAGCAAACAGG